GGGGAUAUAGCUCAGUUGAUUAGAGCGCUACGCUGGCAGCGUAGAGGUCGAGGGUUUGAGUCCCUCUAUCUCCACCA
rnacentral:tRNA from 1 species